CCCUUAGAUGUUCUGGGCCGCACGCGCGCUACACUGACGAAUGCAACGAGCUUAUAACCUUGGCCGAAAGGUCUGGGUAAUCUCCAAAUUUCGUCGUGAUGGGGAUAGAUUAUUGCAAUUAUUAAUCUUCAACGAGGAAUGCCUAGUAAGCGCAAGUCAUCAGCUUGCGUUGAUUACGUCCCUGCCCUUUGUACACACCGCCCGUCGCUCCUACCGAUUGAAUGGUCCGGUGAAGCGUUCGGACCGUGGCCUUUGGACGGUUCGCCGUCUGUUGGCUGCGGGAAGUUCGUUAAACCUUAUCAUUUAGAGGNAGGAGNAGUCGUAAC
rnacentral:rRNA from 1 species